UACGUAGGGGGCAAGCGUUAUCCGGAUUUACUGGGUGUAAAGGGAGCGUAGACGGCGAAGCAAGUCUGGAGUGAAAUCCCAGGGCUCAACCCUGGGACUGCUUUGGAAACUGUUUUGCUAGAGUGUCGGAGAGGUAAGUGGAAUUCCUAGUGUAGCGGUGAAAUGCGUAGAUAUUAGGAGGAACACCAGUGGCGAAGGCGGCUUACUGGACGAUAACUGACGUUGAGGCUCGAAAGCGUGGGGAGCAAACAGG
rnacentral:rRNA from 1 species